GGCACCGUGGUUAAAGCGGUUGGCUGCUAACCAAAAGGUUGGUGGUUCGAAUCCAUCAGCUGCUC
rnacentral:tRNA from 1 species